ensembl:lncRNA
CAGGGACCAACAGGACCACCAGGACCCAAUGGAGAAGCUGGUCCUUCAGGUGCAAAAGGUUUACAUGGAAAGCCUGGUGAUCCUGGUGCCCAGGGUCCUGUGGGAAAAAGAGGGGAUCCUGGAAUUAGGGGACUUACUGGUGAACCUGGAAUGCCUGGAGUAAAGGGCAUCAAAGGCAGAGAAGGAACAAAGGGGCUUCCUGGCAGCCCAGGACAGAAGGGUAUUCAAGGCCCAGAAGGUCCUAAAGGGAAACCUGGUCAUCCAGGGCCCAGAGGCGUUUUGGGACAGAAUGGUUACCGAGGACCACCUGGUAUAGAAGGAAACAUAGGUCCAUGGGGUGAGACUGGAAGUCAGGGGCCACCAGGAGACCCAGGGCCCCAAGGGUCAGCAGGGCCCAUGGGGGUGCACGGUUACCCUGGUAAGGAUGGACCAUCAGGAGCUACUGGACUUCAAGGAGACAAAGGUG